rnacentral:lncRNA from 1 species
UAAAUAAAUACAAUUCCGGACGCUUUGUACAGCAAAAGCAGAACUGUAUGUUUUGGUUUAGGAUCUCAAAAUCACAUGUCCUUGUAAUAUAGUAUGGUUAGAGAGUUAUUUGUGUGAAAUACUCUCACUUUAGUAAGUUAUUGCUCUGAUAACACACACACACACACACACACACUCGCAGUGUUCAUUGGUGGAGAAGUGCUGCCUGUGCCUCAGCGCUACACUGCUGACCGCCCGUAACCCCGCCCCUUUAUGCAAAUCCUAGAGACACACAGGCUUGGCUGAGAGAGCAGACGCGCUCUGAUUGGUCAGCGACAAACCCAUUUAUAUUCGCUGACAGUCGCUCUAUGAAUGGUUGUCUAUUAACUUGUUCAAAAAGUAUCAGGAGUUGACAAGGGCUCAGGCGAGGAGGGAAAGCGAGUUUGUGUUGAUUCUUCAAGACUAAAAAAAUAAGUUUGUGGGCUCAACAGGACCCGAGAGCGCGUACCUCCUCAGCAAAGUUCCCACAACUGCUAAGUGGAAACGAAGACUGUGAGCGACAACCACAGCGUGUAAGUUUCUUGCCUGUAAAUCUCUGCUCUGCUUGGGGAGAUAAAAACGACCCAAAUGAAAUGAAGACGCACGUCAAAGAUUUUUUUCUACUCAAGCAUGGCGGUGAUAAUUGGAUUGUGUGGACACCUGUAUGAGUGCAGUAUUUCCAGGGGAUUAGAGAACGGGAUGGCUUUUGCAGGUUCUGUCCAGACCCGUGGACUGAGUUCACCUGACUGUUGUCUCGCGAUGGACCAGAUCUGCACAUUUGGGGACGUCGGUGUCAGCACACUUGAAGCAUCAACUUUGACCUCUCAGUAA